rfam:Bathycoccus prasinos genomic : Mitochondrion.
GGGAAAGUGGCCGAGUGGUUGAAGGCGGCAGACUGUAAAUCUGUUGAAUUAAAUCUACGUAGGUUCAAAUCCUACCUUUCCCA